GCGAGAGUGCUGGAAUCGGCAGACAGGCAUGGUUGAGGGCCAUGUGUUCGCACGAACGUGUGGGUUCAAGUCCCAUCUCUCGCA
rnacentral:tRNA from 1 species